GCGCCGCGGGCACCAAGUUUCGGGUCAGCCGUGAAGGCGCGGGUGGCCGGCCGGCGUGAGAGGGCAGGCGCGGAGGGGCGCGGGAGUCGCAGGCAAAGUUUGGUUGAGGCACAAGAGGGUACAGAAGAUUUCUAGACAAAGAGACUCUUAAAGGUGCAGAGACUAGUGUCUGGCCCUCCUCCUUAAAGGGCCAGACACUCUCCGAGCGCCACUCCUUCUUCCCAGCCCUCCGUCUCCCCGGAUCCGUAAAGGAAAUUUGCGCGAGUGCCGCUUACUCUGCGGCUUACCUUUAAUAUGUCUCACCGCUCCACAGAGGCCUUUUCCACUCCUGCUUGUUUUUUGGUUUUGUUGUUUUCUUUACGGUGCAGCGGCAGCCAGCGAACCAUGGAGUUUCCCCGGGGCAGCGUUUGCAAAAGUUACUCUUGGCGCCCAGACAAGCACACACGUGUGGACUUUUACCACUGACGACCCAGGCGGGAUUCAGCUGUUUUAUGAAAAUCCUCUUCAACGGGAGAGGGGAAAGAUCGUUGUUGCUCCCAAAUGGGGCCUGGGAAAUAAAUCAGACCGAGGUGGCAGUGGUCCUAAGGACUUCCGAGAAGGAUGAAGUCCAUUCUGAAACAGAAAGGAAAGACUGGCUUGCAAGUUCCCAACAACUUUUCUUGGAGAAGACAAUUAAGCAUCUUAUUCAAUGUUCCUAACAAGGUGCUUUUCUGAGUGAGGAAUCUGGAAGCCACUUAAAAUUUGAGGAAGUUGUGUGCUCAGCCUAGCUAGAAGGAAAAAUAGUCCCACCACUGUGAGCACACAUUACAUCUGUGGCUCUCAAAGUCUGUCGCCAGAGGUUCUCUGAGACCCAAACUAGUUUUAAAAUAACAUUGGAAGUAAUCGCUCUUUGUUGUGGGAAUGUCAUUUACACAGCUAAUAAAAAGAAUGUAAGGGCAAAGCAUGACGCUCAGUGGUAACGCACUUGCUGCUGAGCCUGCCUCUCCAGGUCCAUCCCCUGGACGCACACGGUAGAAAAGCACAGGCUUCUGCAAGAUGUCCUCUGACCUCCCGACAGUAAACACAACAUACAUGCACACACACACACACACACACACACACACACACGCACACGCACACGCACACACGCACACACGCACGCACGUGACUUAAGGUUAAUGCUGGCAGGAUGAUUCAGCCUAUGAAGCACUUAGCACCAAGCUUGACAGCUGGAUUUGAUACAGGGACUACAUGGAGGAGAAAUAAUUCCCAGACAUUGUCCUCUCACAGCCGCAUGCCUGUGCCCAGACACAAAUACAAAUUGUGAAUGCAAUUUUGAAAAAGUUUUAAAAAAGAACAAUGAAGUUGGGUGGUGGCGGCAGCAGCACACGCCUUUAAUCCCAGGAGGCAGAGGCAGGGGGAUUUCUGAGAGUUCCAGGCCAACCUGCUCUACAAAGUAAGUUCCAGGACAGCCAGGGCUGUUAUACAGAGAAACCCUGUCUUGAAAAACCAACAAACAACAGAAAACAAUGAAUACAGAAAACAAUGAAUACAAUUGCUGUUGACUUACCACAAAGGCACAAAUCAGUUGCAAGAAACCAAAGUAGCGUCCAAGUGUUCUUUGAUGGCACAAUAUAAAAACAACUGUUCCACUUAAAUCUCAGGUUAAACACUAAAAGUUAUUAGUUCUAAGUAGACAUCCCCCAGGUAUGGUGGCACACACCUAGGAUCCCAACACUGAGGUCCAUGCAAGAGUUCAAGGUCAUACUCAGAUCCAUGGAGAGUACAAAUCAAUCUAGU